UGGAUCACCUCCUAACAGGGAGACAACAAAAUGUUUAAUAUUAUUAUUUUGUCACCUUAGGUCGAUCGGUAUCUCACGUUCUUAAUUUAUUAAGAAUUUCAUUUCCUAAGUUUUUCUAGGUCACACCCAUUAUUUUUCCUGGGCCAUUAGCUCAGGUGGUUAGAGCGCACCCCUGAUAAGGGUGAGAUCCCUGGUUCAAGUCCAGGAUGGCCCAUAUCUCUAUGUUGGGGGUAUAGCUCAGUUGGUAGAGCGCCUGCUUUGCAAGCAGGAUGUCAGCGGUUCGAGUCCGCUUACCUCCACUGAUUACCACCUCUUCCAUAACCGGUAUAAAGGAAAUGUUUUGAGUUGUGAUCAUUAUUCUGAACGAAUCUAGCUUCCUAAUGAAAUCAUUAAGAUGCUGGACUCAUUGAAUUAAUUUCAUUGUUUUCAGAGAACCUUGACAACUGCAUAGAUUAUUUUUAAAGACAAUAAGCAUCUUUAAUGAUGCAGAUUUAUUAUUUGUGCGAAUGCAUUAAUAACAAUUCUAUUAAGCUGAUGCUUCAAUUAUUGAAGUUAUUGGUCAAGCUACAAAGGGCUCACGGAGGAUACCUAGGCACACAGAGGCGAUGAAGG
rnacentral:tRNA from 1 species